GGGAGUUUUUCGACGGGGGUUCCGAAAAAGAAGGAGCAGAAGGCGAGGAAUGAUGUUUUUACGUUGCCGAAUUUGCCGGGAGCUACAGGUAGCCCAAACAAAAAUAAGAAGAAGAUCACGUCAGAAACGGACUUGCUCCAAUCGAACAUCACAGUGACACCAAGAAUACAAUCAUCUACCUCACAAAAACUUUCACCAUCCAAAAACUCAAAUAGUUUUCCUCUGAUGUGAUUUUCAUACUCAACGUUUGUAUAUAGGUUGCUGGUUUUGUAAAAGUUGUU